rnacentral:lncRNA from 1 species
CUUGGCUUUCCCAUCUCUUUCCACUACAUACUUGUCUUCCCAGCUUUCCUUGAACUAGGGGAGUCUGCCAGGAGGUUUCUGGGGAAGUUUUGCUUUUGGAUAAAAGAAACAAGGGCACUGAGGAAAACCUCUUCUCCUCCUGCCUCCAGCUUCAGACACGUAAGUGCAGACAUGAUAGCUGAAGCUGGGACAGCCAGUUUGGGUUAUAAUGGGGCAAAUACAAGGACCAAAGACAACGCAGUGAGGAGGGCAGAGAGGAAGGAAGGGAAGAGAGUGGGAUCUGGCUGACAUUGAUGAUCAUCGUUGUAGCGCUGUUUUAAGCCCAUCAUUUCACUCAUCCAACAAAUGCUUAUUGAGCAUUUCUUCUGUGCCAGUCACCAUGUGAGACAUUGUGAGACAAACAAGGCUGAACAAACUACCCAGGUCCCAGAACUCACGGAGUUUAUAGUCUGGUGGGGCAGCCAGACACCACAAUUCACACCAGCAACUAUCUGAUCAGAGCGAUGACGAGAACUGCAAAGCCAAAUCCAGUGUGCCGUGGAAGCACCGGAAGUCCAGGGAGGGCCAAGUCCACCCAGCAUCACCACACCAAAGAGCAGCUCUUUAGAGUCCUGCUAAAGCUCAAAAACAUGAAACCACAACGAGGAUUUCUUGCGUGCUUGCUCUGGACCCAGCACUGUUCUAAGCACUCAUGGAUCCUUCCAUUUGAUCCUCACAACAGCCAUGUCUUCCUCUGCCUCUAACUGAGGCUCUGCUACGUGCCAUGUCCCUGACCCACCAAUGCACCUCUACUACAGUCAUCUUAGGAGAUGAUUAAUGUUAUCCCCAUUAGAGAACCCCAGAAGAAGAUUUUUUGUUUGUUUUUUGUUUUUUUGUUUUGUUUUGUUUUUUUGAGAUAGAGUCUUGUUCUGCUGCCCAAGCUGGAGUGGCAGUGGCAUGAUCUCAGCUUAAUGCAACCUCUACCUCCCAGGUUCAAGUGAGUCUCAUGCCUCAGCCUCCCAAGUAGCUGGAAUUACAGGCGUGUGCCAUCAUGCCUGGCUAAUUUUUGUAUUUUUAGUAGAGACGGGGUUUUGCCAUGUUGGCCAGGCUGGUCUCGAACUCCUAAUCUCAAGUUAUCUGCCCGCCUCAGCCUCCCAAAGUGCUGGGAUUACAGGCAUGAGCCACUGCACCCAGCCUGGGAGAGGGGUUUUGUUUCCUCAGAGCACUUGUUUCUUUUCUCAGAAAGCAAAUUUUUCUUUUCUUUCUUUCUUUUUUUUUCUGGAGCCUUCCAGCAGACUUCAGUAGCUCAUUUUACAGAUAAAACAUGUGAAGCUCAGAGAGGGGUAAUGAUUUGACUCACAAGACCACACAGUUUUUUGUUUUGUUUUUUUUUUAAAUAAGUAGAUCUAGGAUGCUAACCCAGGUGUAUUUUAUCAAAAAUAUCAAAUCAGGGUCUUUCAGCCACUCUCACACACAUACACAUAGGCACACAUCCACUGCAGUGAAUGUUCCACUGCCCCAGGACAAAAGUGCUCAUUUUUUGUGGAUGUACUGCAAGGUCACUGGAGUUCUCCUUUCUCUGUCCAGCCAUAUCUGUGGCCUAGAGCAGAGGGCCAGCAACAGCUGGAUUGUGUCAAGUCUCGAGUCAGAUGACAUUUUGUUUGUUUGUGUUUUUUUUUUUUAAUCUUGAACCUUAGUUUUUUCUUCUGUCCUUGGAGAUUACAAUAUUAUUUAUCUCAGACAGCCGUUUGGAAAAUGAAACAGCUGUCUGAGAGAUAAUAGUAGAACAUUCACUAACCCAUUCAUCCAUCCAUUCACCCACCUACCUGUCGAUAGAAGCAACCAUUCUAAUAAUUGCUGAAUGUUUGCUAUAUAAUGAGUAUGACACAGGAGCAGAGAUGAAGAGACAUGAGGACAUCCUACAAGGUGCAGAGACGUGGGAGACAGUGAAAGGCUGUCAGGUUAUAUUAUUGUAUCAUCCUUUAAGAGACACUGUGGGGCCUUCUGUUCACCCCUAGCUUAGCCUUAUGACCUGGGCUGUCCUUCCCCAGAAGCUGUCUGGCCCCUUUGAGAGACAAUGUCUUCCCCUAGCCACAGGUUCAACCAAGUCAUCCAUUGGCAUCUAUACUCCAGGUCUUAAAAUUGUGGAUUAAGGGUGGCCUCACCCUUAAUCUCCUCUAUGCUAUCUCCUCUAAUCUCCCCGCUCUCUGGGAGAUAGGUCCUGUUGUUAUCUUCAUUUUACAGAUGAGGAAAUAGGUUCAGAGAGGGGAAAUGUCUUGCCCAAGGUCACACAGCUGGUGUGUGGGAUGGGUUCCCAGGCUGUUGGUUUCUUCAGCCUCUGCCAUUUCCAGUGCAUCACAUAUUCCUGUUUGAUGGGGGUCAAAGCAAAGAAGAUUCUCCCUGACUAGAGUCAGGAGAUCAGGCCCUGAUUCUGUCAUUCCCUGGCCCUCUGUCCUCAGCAAUUGAUGACAUAAAUGUUGAUUGUGUCUUUGCAAUGCACGUGGUAUCAAGGGCUUUACACCCUUGUUCCCCACGGCAUCCACCAUGAUCUUAAGACACAUCCUAGUCCUGUCUCCACUUCAGAAAGAAAGCAAGAGGCACGUGAAUGUUGAGCCGUGUGACAGAGUCACAACUAGACCCCGAGGUCUACUGGAUUCCAGAGACCAAGUUCUGUGCGGGUGUGUGAUUUGAACAGGUUUAUAAAAGGCACCCAACUUUUAAAAAAUCCAAAAUGUGUCCCCAAAAGAUAAAACAAACAUUCUCUUGAAUUUCCCUCCUCAGAAACAAACCUGUCACCAAUUUUAUUGUGUCAUUCCAUGAAUUUUCUAUGCGUGGAAUGUACACGUAUACGCGUGUGUACAUAUAUACAUCUAUAUCCGUUUCGCUAUCAGCAACUACACAGUUCUUCAGUGUACCGUUUUCACUUAAUUUAACUGAGAGGUUCUUCCCUGUCACACACAGAUGUGCGUUGUUUCCUUGAACAAUGGGAUAGCAUUCCACUGUAAAGACGUCUCACGCUUUAUUUACCCGUCUUCCCUCUGCUGAGGGACAUUGGGUUGCUUCCAAUGUGGGGGUCACCCUAAGGAGUGAGCCUGAGCCUUUCACUCUCAGUAACACAUGCUUUCUAGCCCUGCAUCUGAGUUUCACACGUCCGCACAAGAUAUUCUCAUUUUCCAACGCUCCACCCUGCGCGGCGCUUUCUACCUCCUCCCCAUUAUCCAGAGCCAACGGGAGCGACAGAGCUGCCCGGUCCCACGCCCAGCUUGAUAAUGCACCAGCAACGUGACCUAGGCCCAGCAAGCCUCUCUUGGUGGACCUCAAUUUGCCCCGCAUCGAAACAGGACGGUGCUUCCAAGCCCCACCCUCUGUGGGGUUUUGGAAAGACCCCUGAGAUGCAUUCCCAGGAAGGCCUCUGGACAGACAAAAUGAGCCAAGCCUCUGCCCCAGGGCUUCUCGGCCCCUCCCAGCACUUCUCGCACCAAGCAGGCCAUGCCCCGGCUUGGGAGCUUAGGGAAGCAGUCACAUUGCCUCCGUGGGGCUUCCUGCCCUUCCAGAGGAGCUCCAGGAGUCGCUUUGGGCCCGUAAGAAACACACGGGGAGGUGUCCCAUGGCCUCCCAAAGCUGACCGCAGUCCCGCCCUGUCCAGUCUUCCCCCAGCCCCACUUACCGUAAGAACUCUCCACUGGAGCCCCGAGGGGCGCGUUCACGCUGACCAUGGCCAAGCCCACCCAGCCGGAGAGCUGGGGGCAUGGAGGAGCAGGGGCCCGCUCACAGCAGCAGCACAGCCACCAGGAGCCCGUCCACCAGGAAGGCGUUCUGAGAGCCGAGGAAGCAGGAAGGAGCUGUGAGAGACUGAGCUCUAACCUUGGCCAUCAAAGACAAGCUGUGCAGCUCUGGUUUUUUGAGGGCAGGACAUGGAGGGUCAGGCCCAGCUGGAGGCGCACCAAAGCCCAGAGAAAAUUCAGAACCACGUGAGCUUGUUGGAUUUCAGCCCCUUGAAGCACAUGUUGCUAUUGCAGCUGCCUUGAUAACUGGGGGGACAGGAGGAGCACGGCUUUCCCAUCUUGUACGGGGACUCGCCAAUCCAGUUGCCCCUGGAAGAGAAAAGGACCCAGGGAGACAGAGGAGCAUUAGAUAGAGUUUCACUCUUGUCAUCCAGGCUGGCAGGAUCUCGGCUCACUGCAACCUCGGCCUCCCAGGUUCAAGCGAUUCUCCUGCCUCCACCUCUCAAGUAGCUUGGGAUUACAGGCGCUCAUCACCACACCUAGCUA